AGGAUGAACGCUGGCGGCGUGCCUAAUACAUGCAAGUCGAACGAAACUUCUUUAUCACCGAGUGCUUGCACUCACCGAUAAAGAGUUGAGUGGCGAACGGGUGAGUAACACGUGGGCAACCUGCCCAAAAGAGGGGGAUAACACUUGGAAACAGGUGCUAAUACCGCAUAACCAUAGUUACCGCAUGGUAACUAUGUAAAAGGUGGCUAUGCUACCGCUUUUGGAUGGGCCCGCGGCGCAUUAGCUAGUUGGUGGGGUAAAGGCUUACCAAGGCAAUGAUGCGUAGCCGAACUGAGAGGUUGAUCGGCCACAUUGGGACUGAGACACGGCCCAAACUCCUACGGGAGGCAGCAGUAGGGAAUCUUCCACAAUGGGCGAAAGCCUGAUGGAGCAACGCCGCGUGGGUGAAGAAGGUCUUCGGAUCGUAAAACCCUGUUGUUAGAGAAGAAAGUGCGUGAGAGUAACUGUUCACGUUUCGACGGUAUCUAACCAGAAAGCCACGGCUAACUACGUGCCAGCAGCCGCGGUAAUACGUAGGUGGCAAGCGUUAUCCGGAUUUAUUGGGCGUAAAGGGAACGCAGGCGGUCUUUUAAGUCUGAUGUGAAAGCCUUCGGCUUAACCUGGGAAUUGCAUUUCAGACUGGGAAUCUAGAGUACUUUAGGGAGGGGUAGAAUUCCACGUGUAGCGGUGAAAUGCGUAAAGAUGUGGAGGAAUACCGAAGGCGAAGGCAGCCCCUUGGGAAUGUACUGACGCUUAUGUGCGAAAGCGU
rnacentral:rRNA from 1 species